rnacentral:tRNA from 1 species
UCCAGUAUGGUCUAAUGGUAGGGCACGGCUUUGGUAUGGCUGACGUGAGGGUUCAACUCCCUCUGCUGGAU